GUCGGAUGGUUAGCGCCCAUCUGUAACUGUAGUUCAGGACAUUGAGGGUCACUUGGAUGGCGUGCGUGUGAGAUCCACUUGAGUAGGUGCUCCAGUGUAGAGGAGCUGCCCGAGCGAAGCUGGCGCAUCGCUAUCGGCAUCCCACCGGAAGGAGGGGUGUCGAGGGCAAAAAGCGGGACUCUGGCCUCCGGGCUGGGGUCAUUGCGAUAAUGAGACUUGAACCGUGUGCAGGCCAGAAAUGGAACAGCAAAAAGGGUCCGUGUUCAGCGGUCGCCGGAAUACGGCUCUGAGCUGGCUGCACCUACUCAACUUACGCAACAUCGUUGGACGGUGCUCCAC
rnacentral:SRP_RNA from 1 species